GGUGGUCCUCCCACUUCAGCUUCCCAAGUAGCUGGGACUACAGAUCUUCAUGUCCCUCUGUGAGACUUUUGCAUGUGAGUUGGGUGGUACAGGAAAGUCAUGUACUUGCUCAUAUCUGACUGCAGUGAAACUAAAUGUCAAAGGCUCAGUGGGAAAAGAAAAGGAAGGAGUGGCACCAGCUAACCCCCAGCUGAGGAAGAUUUCAAUGACUGGUUGCUUAACUGAGUUCGGAUUUUUAAAAGCAGGGAAAGUGAAGAUAGUUAACAAUAAAAGGAAAGAAACUGGGACCCAGGAAAAGAUAAACUGUGAAUAUUUAGUAUUAAUUGGUAUCUCAAGAGACAGAGUCUUGGUCUUUGAGCACAGAGAAGAGUCAUUACAUGGAAAGAGAUUUGUUCUGUAUUUCCCACCACUUAGAGAGAAAAAUAUGCAUAAAACUCCAGCAGAAACUUUUAACGUUAAAUUGCAAUAAAAAUUUCAGUAAAUAA